AAAGGAAUUGACGGGGGCCCGCACAAGCGGAGGAGCAUGUGGCUUAAUUCGAUGCAACGCGAAGAACCUUACCCGGGUUUGACAUGCAGCUGCACGUCCCGUGAAAGCGGGAUUCCUUCGAGGGUGCUGCACAGGUGCUGCAUGGCUGUCGUCAGUUCGUGCCGUGAGGUGUUUGGUUAAGUCCAGCAACGAACGCAACCCCUGUGUCCGGUUGCCAGCGGGCAAUGCCGGGAACUCAGGACAGACUGCCCGUUCACACGGGAGGAAGGUGGGGACGACGUCAAGUCAGUAUGGCCCUUACAUCCGGGGCUGCACACGUGCUACAAUGGCCGGCACAAAGGGAAGCAAAGCCGCGAGGCGGAGCAAACCCCCAGAACCGGCCCCAGUUCAGAUUGCGGUCUGCAACCCGACCGCAUGAAGUCGGAUUCGCUAGUAACGGCGCAUCAGCUACGGCGCCGUGAAUACGUUCCCGGGCCUUGUACACACCGCCCGU
rnacentral:rRNA from 1 species